rnacentral:rRNA from 1 species
AUACGGAGGGUCCGAGCGUUAUCCGGAAUCAUUGGGUUUAAAGGGUCCGCAGGCGGUCAAUUAAGUCAGAGGUGAAAUCCCAUUGCUCAACAAUGGAACUGCCUUUGAUACUGGUUGACUUGAGUUAUACGGAAGUAGAUAGAAUAAGUAGUGUAGCGGUGAAAUGCAUAGAUAUUACUUAGAAUACCGAUUGCGAAGGCAGUCUACUACGUAUAUACUGACGCUGAGGGACGAAAGCGUGGGGAGCGAACAGGAUUAGAAACCCCAGUAGUCC